rnacentral:rRNA from 1 species
UGCCAGACUCCUACGGGAGGCAGCAGUGGGGAAUAUUGCACAAUGGGGGGAAACCCUGAUGCAGCGACGCCGCGUGAGUGAAGAAGUAUUUCGGUAUGUAAAGCUCUAUCAGCAGGGAAGAAAAUGACGGUACCUGACUAAGAAGCCCCGGCUAACUACGUGCCAGCAGCCGCGGUAAUACGUAGGGGGCAAGCGUUAUCCGGAUUUACUGGGUGUAAAGGGAGCGUAGACGGCAUGGCAAGUCAGAUGUGAAAGCCCGGGGCUCAACCCCGGGACUGCAUUUGAAACUGUCAGGCUGGAGUGCAGGAGAGGUAAGUGGAAUUCCUAGUGUAGCGGUGAAAUGCGUAGAUAUUAGGAGGGACACCAGUGGCGAAGGCGGCCUGCUGGACUGCAACUGACGUUGAGGCUCGAAGGCGUGGGGAGCAAACAGGAUUAGAUACCCUCGUAAU